rnacentral:lncRNA from 1 species
CAAAAGAUGCCAUUUUCAUAUGGCUUAUAUACAAUAGUCAAAAUAUCAUUCUACUAUAUUGUCUAUCCUAUACAUGCCAUAAGCUAAGUCUAAUUACAUAGUUGCCGUAAUGGUAGAUAGUGUGACGAAGUACUGAUGAUCCCCGAACUGGUAGUCAGAAUCCACAACCUAUAAACCAAAACAUGAUCGAAUGGAGUAAGCUUUUGUAAGCUUAGUAAGUUUUAAGCAAAACAAAGUGUUCUUAUUCACUAUCAUUGGUCAUUCAUUUCAACUGUUCGAUGAAGUUAAUCUAGAGCUUCAUCUCGAACUAUAAUAUCAAUAAACGCAUCACUUGGCUGUCACAUAUAUACUUUCGAAUGAUAAUGACCUAGAUGGUCAAAUAUUUCCAAAGCACAUUCUUCAUCAAUUUUCAACUUUCAAUAAUCCUUUCCACUUGUUCAUAAUCACAUCCAUAUUUUUAAGUAUUCCAACAUGACAAGCACUAAAUUACCGUAGGCACAUAAAGAACCAAACAUAUUCCUUAUCACAUAUACGUAAGCUUACAAAACAUAAUCCUUACCUUGUACUGGCACAUCCAGCUGAACCCAACCCAUACUCAAAUCAUAAGGCUUUUGGGCAGAAUAUGCACUAAUACAUAAGAAUAUUUCAUCACAUACUUCAUUAUACAAGCAUACCAUUACCAAUUAGAUCAUUCUCAUAUUUGGAGUUAUAAUAUUAAUCACAUUUACCUACCUCUUUGAUACUGAUAAUUCACCUCGAAAUCACUCCACCGAUGAGUAAGUAAUACGUACCUGAACGUCUUAAAUACAUAAUACUUAUUUGAUGGUAACUUAUUACAGAUACUCAAUACCAAAGUCUUACUUGAAUCCUAGCAUUUAGCCGUCGGGUCUUUAAAGCUCGGAUAUAGUACGAGCACGAAGCAUACGGACAUUAAUCAAGAUAAUAUUCUCGCAUAAAGCCUGCGGGGUUUUAACCCGGAUAUAGUACUGACACAAAUGCCCUUCGGGACUUAUCACAUUUAUACACUUUCACAUCCAUCACAUUGGCCAUUCGGCCUUAUCACAUAUAUGCACCUUCACAUCCAUCACAUCGGCCAUUAGGUCUUAUCUCAUAUAUACACUUUCACAUUCAUCACAUUGGCCAUUAGGUCUUAUCUCAUAUAUACACUUUCACAUUCAUCACAUUGGCCAUUCGGCCUUAUCACAUAUAUACACUUUCACAUUCAUCACGUUGGCCACUCGGCCUUAUCACAUAUAUACACUUUCACAUUCAUCACAUCGGCCAUUAGGCCUUAUCACAUAUACACACUUUCACAUUCAUCACAUUGGCCAUUCGGCCAUAUCACAUAUAUACACUUUCACAUUCAUCACAUCGGCCAUUAGGCCUUAUCACAUAUACACACCUUGUACAUCAAUUUCAUCAUAACAAAAUUGACUAGGUAUACUAGUCAUUUACGGCUUAUAGAUUCACUUUAAUACGGAUUUGGUACUUUGAUUACCAAUAUUUAAUCGAUAGCUUAUAAGCAACUCAAAUAGUUUUAUUAAGGUUUACAACAUAAUCACAAAUUCAGCACAAGCUGUUUUUCCUGAGCAGCAGUCAUUAAAUUAUUCGUAAAUGGAGAUACGAAACUCCAAAUGAAGUUACGUUAAUUUUCCCUGAAAAUAGACUCAUACAUAUUUUAUCCAACAAAUUUUCAGAAUUUUUGGUUUGGCCAAUCAAUGCCAGAUUUUUCUUCAAGUUUCCAUUAUUUCACUGUUUGACUAUGCUGACCACUCUUCACUACGAAUCAAAUUUCUCAUUGUACAAAAUUCAAAAUAUGUUCUAGUUUAUUUCAUUUGAAACUAGACUAACUAAGGCAUCUAGAAUAUAAAUUUUGUCUUUUAAAAAUUCUUGUACAAUUUAUAAUGAUUUUCUAAAAAUAGAACAGAGGAUUACAGUGUCAUUCUGCACUGUCUCACACAACUUUAAAUAUCUCAUUAUCAGAAAUUCCUUUGCUUACACAGUUUCUUUUAUAAGAAACUAGACUCAUUAAGCUUUAAUUUAAUGUUUCAUUGAGCCUCUAAUUCAAGUCCAUAAAUUUAUGGUUAUUUUCUAAAGUCACGUUACUACUGCUGUCCUAAGCAGACUAUUUCAAAUUACACUUAAAUUCCCAAGCUCAAACACUUAAGAACUUACCAUUUGAGCUUAGAACAUAACAUGGCCACAUCAUAUCUUAUUAAAUCAACUCAUCAUGUCCUAUUAUGAUUGAAUUUACUCAACGUUUAAUCACUUAAAACUUACCUCGGAAGUGGUCGACGACUAGAUAUCCACGGCUAUUCGUUUACUUUCUCUUUAUCCAAAAUUGCCCCUCUAUGCUCUUGAGUCUAAUUAACAAAAUUUAAACUAUUUUAAUCACCUUGUUAUAUCAUUAAAAACAACAAGGUAAAUCUUCUCAAUGAAACUCAUACAUAAGGAAACACCUCGAUACAUCUGCACACAUUCGGUAUUUCAUAAAAACCAUCCCAAAUACAUUUACCUAGGUAUCACCAUGUCGCCUUAUAUACAUAUACUAGUUAUGUGGUCAAUUUUACCGAUGACCUAUGCAUAUAACUAUUUACACCUUUAAUAAUAUUCACAAAGCCGAUUAUCCACAUGACUACCUUAGCAUAUUAUUAGUUAGCUUCUUAUCCAAAUUUGCCAUAAAGAAAAUUAACUCAUAUACCCUCAAGUGCAUAAGCAAUUGCAUCCAAAGGACACUUUAAAUGCAUGUUAUGAAAGUAACCGAAUGCACAUAUAUUUAUACCAAGACAUCAGAUACUUCAAAACCAACUACCAAGGCAUAAAGCCGAACCUUCAAAAUCAAUUAUCAAUACACGUUCAAACAUGCCCUCCUACAAAUAUACAAGUUCUCCCUUGGUUAAACUAAAUCAUGCUUUAAGGUUUAACACAUUUAACCAUUAGAGAGUUAAUCAAAUUAGCAUUCAAUUAUUCUAUACACCCACCAUUAACCGAAUCUCAUUUAAUCAAAUUUAUUUCUUGACAAUUUCAUCACAUUCGGUCAUUGGUAAUUUAAUCCUAUAAAGAGUCAAAUUUUACUUCAAUUCACUAAGGUGAGGUUAUUAUAAUUUAACCUCUAUCUCCGAAUGCCCCCUUCUCCAUAAAACCAUCAAAUUUUUAAAUUAUAAUAGGUUCAUAACUCAUUUAACCACUAAUUCCAUGCCAAGCAUAAAAAGGCCAUGGGUUUUACACCUAACUUACAAGACCAUAAAACAUAAAGGUUUAAUGUUCAUCUUUAACACAAUUACCACACUUCAAACUAAAUUUUCAGCUUCAUAUAUCCCACACCAGAUUUUUUUUCCAUGCUCAAUUUCCAUGGCCGAAUGAAAUUAUGCCCUAAUUCAUGAACUUAAACAACAUUGGCCAACUUUCCAAGCUCAUUUGAGCCAUCAAGCACAUUUAGUUUGUUCAUACUCAACUAGAAUCAAUUAUCCUCCCAAAAUCAUCAAACAUACAAAAUAUACCCCAUUAAGCUCAUGACCGAUUGCUACAUGCUUCAUGAACACAAAAAUUUUCACAUGGGUCUUGUUGCAAGCUUCAAAACCAACCAAAAUUCACAACUUUUCAAAGAAAAUAACAUGAACCUUACCUUAUUUGAAGCCUCCUUUUGCCGAAU